rnacentral:ncRNA from 1 species
AACAAAGCGUAGAAGAGGAUUAGUAAUCGUAAUUGUGGUAUCUCCAGAGAACCGGUGUAGCUGAGAGCCGGUGUUACCCUUACGAUGAAGCUCACCUCGGAGCGUCAAUCUGAAACGAGUUCAAGUAGGGUUGACCGGGUAGUUAUCUUGCUACUCGUUAUUGAAAAUUGAACGAUUUUUCUUUCAAGUCGUUCAUGAGGUGAUUCUUGUAAAUGAAUCACGAAAAAGGGUGGUACCGUGGAGAGGAAGACCUUUUCACCCCUUUA